CGCCCAUCGUCUAGCGGUUAGGACGCCGCCCUUUCACGGCGGAAACAGGGGUUCGAUUCCCCUUGGGCGUACCAC
rnacentral:tRNA from 1 species